rnacentral:rRNA from 1 species
UACGAAGGGGGGCUAGCGUUGCUCGGAAUUACUGGGCGUAAAGCGCACGUAGGCGGCUCUUUAAGUCGGAGGUGAAAUCCUGGAGCUCAACUCCAGAAACUGCCCCUCGAUACUGAAGAGCUCGAGUCCGGGGAGAGGUGAGUGGAAACUGCGAGUGUAGAGGUGAAAUUCGUAGAUAUUCGCAAGAACACCAGUGGCGAAGGCGGCUCACUGGCCCCGGUACUGACGCUGAGGGUGCGAAAAGCGUGGGGGGAGCAAAACAGGG